ensembl:lncRNA
AUUAUAAAUCUCUGAAAUUGAAAAGUGCUAUUUGUUAUUAACUUUUUUUUUCUUUUCUCUUUCCAGAUGGAGUCUGACAGUGAAGAGAAUCGCAGUGAAACAUGCGAUGUUCUGCCUGACUGCAUCGCUGAGGCGCCCAGCUUGUAUCUCGGAACGGGUAAAAAGCGGGCGGCCGCAGAAGGGGCCCGCGGGGCCCCGGUCAACAAGAGGAAAUCGCUCCUGAUGAAGCCCCGCCACUACAGUCCUAGUCCCUGCCCCAGCGAGGAAGACCUGGCAAGCGCUCAAGACAAAGACGCGCCCAGGAACACUGACACUCCAGCAGGUAGACAGAUGUCCUGUUGUUUUGUCUGUUUUGAUGAACAAUUGACGCUGAAUUUUAAACUACCAUCUGUUGCAUUCAUUUAUUUGUUUCCCUCCUCCUCCUCCUCCUUCGUCUCCUCUCCCCCCUCCCUCCCCGCAUCCGUCUCUUCGUCCAUCCCGGGGAAGUUCACGACAGUCGAUUCCCGUUCGUUUUUUCAUGCAUCCGGUGUCCAGAUUAAGGCGAUUUCCUGCGCUCGGCUUCUUUGAAACCCGGAUUAAAAACUGGCGGCGGCGGGUUGAUUAUGCAGCCUGGAAAAGUGCUUUUUUAUAAGCAAGUGUGGUUGCUUGCAUAAUUAUGCAAAUAGGGUAACUGAGAAUAGAAUGCACCAAAUUAUAUUGUGCCUCGUUGACAAAAGAGAGUGAUCAUACACUCCAACAACAAAACAUUUUUGGCAACGAAGGCACGGAAACGUUAAAGUCGAUAUUACGUUUUAAAGCAGUCUCCUUUCUAGAAACAAAAUGCUGCCAUCUCCUAAUGAAUCAAAUUAUGAGCAUGUUGGCAACAAUACCCAUGCUUUACAUGUGUACCUCCACACCCCUAUAAUCUGCACUUAUUUGGUAUAUUUUUAACGAUGUAACCAAGCAACAAACGUAAUUGUCCCUUUCGAAAGCUUUUGUUAGACCAUCGAACACAGCCCAAAUAUACAUAAUUAGGCAUAAUGUGUGCGGCUCAUUAUUGGACACAUGUGGGUUGUUAAAUGGACAACAAAAUAGCUCAAUAAAUUGAACAGCAUCAUUGGAAAUGGAAUUUAU